rnacentral:lncRNA from 1 species
GGGAGGGGAGCAGCAGCGCGGCGGCCAGCAAGAGGUUGAUCCAACGACCUGAAGAGGCUAAGGGGGUGGACGGUAUUCCAUUUGCCGUCCGGUGGGACGGCAAACGGAAUACCGUCCAGUCCAGCUGCGCAGCUCACGGCGGCGCCCCCCGGAGCGCCGGUUCCGGUUCUGCGCCCCCGGCGACCGGAGCUACACGUUCCCAC